rnacentral:lncRNA from 1 species
CAGAAGUUUCCUGAAUCCACCUGGCUGAGGUGGGCUUCUGUCAUCCAGCCUUGGUUCCCUGAAUUAAGUGUGGGAGCUAUAGCCUUUCCUACAGAAGUCCACAGAAGAGUGAAGGUUGUACAGGCUGAGAACUCAAGUUCUCUGAUUUGGAAUCCUGCUUAGAAACUCUGUUAACCCAAGACAAGUCAGCACUUCCCACACCCAUGUCCCUAGAUUCUCAAUGAGCAAUGAUGUCACCAUCUCUUGCCUUCUGUCAUCUGUGCACUUAGACCUCACAUCAUGAUGCUGGCUUCUGCUGCAUGUAAAGGCUAUGCUGUGGUGCUGUGAUAUGAGUUAUAUGUGCCAUAGCAUGCAGAGAAAGAAUAUUUGAUCAAGGACCAAGACAUCUUACAGAAGAAAGGGUUUACAGUUCCAGAGUGAUGAGCAUUCAUGGUGACAGAGUUGAAGCAUAAAGCAUGACAGCAGGUGACAGGCAAGACUACACAAGGAGGAAACUGAGAGUUCACACUUGACAAAGCAGAGAAUGGGAAUUGGAGUGUAAACUGAAGACCAGAAGCUGACCUUUGGAGACAUCUAGUCCAGCAGAGCAGCUGCUGCAUUCUCAGUAUCUUCAACGUGAGACAACCAUGUCGGAAAACCCAACCCAUAUCACUUUCAGGUUCUGAUGUCGCCAUCUGGCCUAAGGCCCCUGCAUGCACUGGUGCUACUGCGUAUGAACUCACAUAAGCGCACGCAAACACAUAAAAACAAGAUAAAGUUUCACAUCGAAACAUUCGCACCACAGCAUGGACGCUUCUCUCUGCACUUGGACAUAUUUUCAGUGGAAUGAGAAUACAGACAAAAAGAGGCAAUAGGCACCUGUAAUGAAGUUCUGACAAUAAAAGAAGUUGGGCAUCUCAUUUCCAUCUUGCAUGCCAAAUCUUUCAUCCUCUCCUGGAAGAUGACCCCAACACAUCAAGCGCAAGAGAAUGAAGACACAGAACAUUCCACUGCAGUCAUGUCUGUCAGAUGCUCCUGUCAAUGCCUGCCUGUGGAUGCCAUCACCUCCGUCGGCCACGAGUUCACGGGAAGCAGAUCCCUGAUCAUCUCACACCUCACCACGGUCGUCUAGGCUAGAUGAAAGAGCUCUUCUGCCUUGAAAGAUCUCCCGAGUGUGUGUCAGCCACCCGUGAGUCCAAAGCCUUCACAGUACUUACCAACAGGUACUCGGCAAAGAUUCUGCCUGCAGCCCGAAACUGAGCAAGCUCUCUCUUAGUCUAUGCCUGUAUCACAACCUAAUCAUCCCAGCGACGACCACCUCCCACUCCCCUCGCAGAGUGCCCACUCGCUUAAAACGCACUGGCUGUAAUGUUUAUUACCCAAUGAGGACACCCGUGUUAUUGAUAGCAGCAAUAAGGAUGCCAUCAAACAUGAAUGCUCACAUUCAGCAAGGGCCCGUCGAC